rnacentral:lncRNA from 10 species
UUGGAAGUAGUUAACUUGCUUUAUAUUUCAGAGGCUCAUGGCAGAAGGGACUGUAGACUUGUCUCAGAUAAGACUCUGGGCUUUGGGGAUUUGAGUAAAUGCUUGAAUGAGUUAAGAUUUGAGAGACUCUAGGGAAGGCAUCAUUGCAUUUUGCAAUGUGAGAAAGACAUGAACAUUGGGGGACCAGGGAGAGAAUAAUAUGUUUUGGCUCUCUGUCUCUACCAAAGCUCAUGUGGCAUGUUAAUGGGAAAUGUUAAAGGUGGGGGCUGGUGGAAGGUGUUUUAAUCAUGAUGGAGAGAG